GUUGACCUCGGAUCAGGUAGGAAUACCCGCUGAACUUAAGCAUAUCAAUAAGCGGAGGAAAAGAAACCAACAGGGAUUGCCUCAGUAACGGCGAGUGAAGCGGCAACAGCUCAAAUUUGAAAUCUGGCCUUCACGGUCCGAGUUGUAAUUUGUAGAGGAUGUUUUGGGCACCGCCCCGGGUUAAAUUUCUUGGAACAGAAUGUCAAAGAGGGUGAGAGUCCCGUCUUGGCCCGCGGUAGGACCUGUGUAAAACUCCUUCGACGAGUCGACUUGUUUGGGAAUGCAGGUCAAAAUGGGUGGUAAAUUUCAUCUAAAGCUAAAUAUUGGCCAGAGACCGAUAGCGCACAAGUAGAGUGAUCGAAAGAUGAAAAGCACUUUGAAAAGAGAGUUAAACAGUAUGUGAAAUUGUUGAAAGGGAAGCGCUGGCAACCAGACUCGAGCGCGGUGUUCCCCCCGGCUUCUGCCUGGGUAUACUUCACCGUGACCGGGCCAUCAUCAGUUUUAGGGGUCGGUCAAAGGCCCGGGGAAUGUAUCCUCUCCUCCGGGGGAGGACUUAUAGCCCCGGGCGUCAUGCGGCCUCCCGAGACUGAGGAACGCGCUUCGGCGAGGAUGAUGGCGUAAUGGUUGUCAGCGACCCGUCUUGAAACACGGACCAAGGAGUCUAACAUCUAUGCGAGUGUUCGGGUGUCAAACCCCUGCGCGGAAUGAAAGUGAACGGAGGUAGGAAGGCCUAAGCCUGCACUAUCGACCGAUCCUGAUGUCUUCGGAUGGAUUUGAGUAAGAGCAUAGCUGUUGGGACCCGAAAGAUGGUGAACUAUGCGUGAAUAGGGUGAAGCCAGAGGAAACUCUGGUGGAGGCUCGCAGCGGUUCUGACGUGCAAAUCGAUCGUCAAAUUUGCGUAUAGGGGCGAAAGACUAAUCGAACCAUUUGGUAGCUGGUUCCUGCCG
rnacentral:rRNA from 1 species